rnacentral:rRNA from 1 species
UACGGGGGGAGCAAACGUUGUUCGGAAUCACUGGGCGUAAAGGGCGUGUAGGCGGCUGAAUAAGUGGGAUGUUAAAUCCCCCGGCUCAACCGGGGACCUGCAUCUCAUACUGUUCAGCUCGAGCACAUCAGAGGAGACUGGAAUUCCCGGUGUAGCGGUGAAAUGCGUAGAUAUCAUGAGGAAGACCAGUGGCGAAGGCGGGUCUCUGGACAGUUCCUGACACUGAGACACGAAGGCCAGGGGAGCAAACGGG